GCUAGUGAUGGGCAAUUUGUGCACACAAUACAGGGUUUUUUUUUUAAAUAGUUGGUUAAGCAAAAUCAGCAUAAUUCACCUCCCAUCCUCAAAAGACAACAAAUAAACAAAAAUUCUAGCGCCCAUGAAAACACUUGCAAACGACUUAAUUUCUUUUUGACAAUCAGUUUAAUCACAGGCACAAUCGCCGGCAAAGCAAUUUGCCGCCAAAUCAUCGGCGUCUCAGUGUAAUUCAUGAGACUUGCGAAAUGCCAAUUGCGCUUUUCAAGUCCGUACGCGAAGUGAGCAGCGAAGAUGCGGUGCACGUAGCAGACAAUCUGCUCAAGGAAAACGCCGGCAAGAAGUGGCGAACCAAGGCGCCGGGAGAGAAAUCCGCAUACGUUGUGCUGGAGUUCGAGGAGCCGCAUCAGAUUACGGGCAUCGAUAUUGGCAACGAACAUGCCGCCUUCAUCGAGGUGCUGGUCAGUCGAACGGGCUGCCAGGCGGACGAUUUCCGCGAGCUGCUGCUGUCCAGUUCUUUUAUGACGCCCAUCGAGAGCAAGAACUCGAGCAAUCCAAAUCGCGUGCGCUGCUUCAAUAGCACUGCGCUGGCGGAGAGUGCACUGCCGGAGAAGUGGAAGCUGCUUAAGAUUGUCUGCACACAGCCCUUCAAUCGCCAUGUGCCAUACGGGCUCUCAUUCGUCAAGGUGCAUGUGGUGGCUGCUGCGGCGCCUAAGGUCAAAUCCCUGCUGCCGCAGGGUGUGAUGCAAUUCGGUGCCUUUAAGCUGCGCGAGGAGUCGCCGGACUCGGAGACGGACAACCAGGUGAACAGAUUUCACAGCUGGAAGAAGGAGACGCAGCACAAGACGCCCGCGGUCACUGCGGCCUCCACAGCGGCGGCCAUUCGGGACGCCGGCACCACGGCCCUGCGAAGGCUGAGCGUUGGCAAGGUUUCUAGCCUGGCUGCAUCGCCCAAACCGUCGCCCAAAGCCUCGAAGUCGUCAUCACCAGUUCUCAAUGCUCUGCAUCCGGUUUCUCCGACGCCAUUGGACGCCAAGCCCCUGGACCGCAAUCGAGCUUCACUCUUGUUCGGCGACGAUGAUGAGGACGAGGAGGACGACGAGGUAAAUGCCAAGAAACACCGGCUGAGCAAGCAUCUGGAGGCGGACAAGGAUCGCCGGCGUUUGGAGCAGGAAAAGGAGAGGGAGAGCAGAAAGAAAAAGUCCAGCAGGCAUUCCUUGGAGAAGUCAAACAGCAAAGAAGACAAACCCCCGGCAAAGGAGCACAAGUCAUCCUCCAGAGAAAAAUCCACAUCCAAAGAAGAGAAGCAUUUACGAAAAGAGGGAAGGGAGCACAAGUCAUCCUCCAGAGAAAAAUCCACAGCCAAAGAAGAAAAGCAUUUACGAAAAGAGGAAAGGUCGCAUUCGAAGGAGGAGAAGUCCAGGAGUAAGGAUAAAUCUAAGCAUGACCACAGAUCUUUGGACACCUCGACGGCCAAGGAAAGUUCGCGGCCAUCUGCGCAAAAGCGUCUUUCAUCUCCCAACGGAGUCGCAGUCACGCCCGCCAAAAAGCCAAAGAUCGUGGAGACAGCGAUUCAAUACCGUCCUCUUAAUCAGUUACUCAAGGGUGUGGUCCUGGUCAUCAGUGGCAUACAGAAUCCCGAUCGUGGAGACUUGCGCUCGAAAGCGGUCGCCUUGGGAGCCAAGUACAAGGCUGAUUGGGGGUCAGGAUGCACCCACCUGAUAUGCGCAUUCAAAAACACGCCGAAGUACAAUCAGGUGAAGGGCAAGGGCAAGAUUGUGACACGCAGUUGGAUCGAGAAAUGCUAUGAGCUGAAGAAGUACCUGCCAUGGCGACGUUACGCCCUGGAUACCAAUGACCUUGGCCAGCCGGAGAGCGAUGAGGAGCUGUGCGAUGAGGCGACGAGGCCACGACGCGAUUCCGGCAAGGAUGAUGUGGCAAUGCUGGAGGAGGAUAGCAAGCUAACAGCUCAAGCGGAUCAGAAUAAUGUGGAAAUGAAUCCAGAUGCCUUAUCGGGCCCUGAUACGGAAGAUGAACUGCAGCGCGUGGCUGAGGAAAACAAAACCAAGAAAGACAAACUAAGGACUACAGUUAAGACGAAAUCGCGAGAUAUAUACGAAGUUAGCACCGAUGAAGAGGACUAUCUGGAGCAAAAGAAGAAACAAAUCGUUUAGGUGCCCUUUCUAAUCUCGUCUCAUAUUUUGUAUACGCCUUUAUUACUUUAAUUGCUUGUAAUGCGUAGUGCGAGUUUCAUAUUUUUUAAUUUGUUUAUCGAAUAUACUCGUUAUUCAGGAAAGCAGGCUGAUUUCGACAAAUUCAAAAUUAAUCUAUCGCAUGUUCAUUUAAAAGAACUAUCGAAUGAACCACCUCUAGGAUAGUGCGAUGGUCCAUCUCCAGCAGGACUUCACAAAAAAGUACUAACGCAUAGCACGAUUCUACAAGGAAUUUCCACCCAAAGAGCGUGCCAGUCGUUGGAAAAUUGAGUUAUUAA